rnacentral:rRNA from 1 species
UACGUAGGGGGGCAAGCGUUGUCCGGAAUCAUUGGGCGUAAAGCGCGUGUAGGCGGCCCGGUAAGUCCGCUGUGAAAGUCCAGGGCUCAACCCUGGAAUGCCGGUGGAUACUGUCGGGCUCGAGUCCGGAAGAGGCGAGUGGAAUUCCUGGUGUAGCGGUGAAAUGCGCAGAUAUCAGGAGGAACACCGAUGGCGAAGGCAGCUCGCUGGGACGUGACUGACGCUGAGACGCGAAAGCGUGGGGAGCAAACAGG